rnacentral:rRNA from 1 species
UACGUAGGGGGCAAGCGUUAUCCGGAUUUACUGGGUGUAAAGGGAGCGUAGACGGCUUUGCAAGCCAGACGUGAUAGCCCGGGGCUCAACCCCGGGACUGCAUUUGGAACUGUAUGGCUGGAGUGUCGGAGAGGCAGGCGGAAUUCCUAGUGUAGCGGUGAAAUGCGUAGAUAUUAGGAGGAACACCAGUGGCGAAGGCGGCCUGCUGGACGAUGACUGACGUUGAGGCUCGAAAGCGUGGGGAGCAAACAGG